AAUUAAUUAAAAUUUAGAUAUCAAAUCUUAUAUGUUGAUUGGUUAUUGUUUUUGGAAAUUAAAAAUGUAUUUCGUUUUUUAAUUAAAUUUAAUUAAUUAAAUUAGUAUUUGACUUUUUAAUCCUUAAACAGAUAAAUUAAUUUACUCUUUAAAAUUUUAUUUCUAAUGGCAUACUUAUGUAAUUAUUUACAAAAAGUAAGGUUACAUUUAAAUUGUAUUUCCCAAAUAAUAUAGUAGGAUUA
rnacentral:sRNA from 1 species